rnacentral:ncRNA from 14 species
ACAGCCCAGUGUGAAUAGACUCUACAUUCACUGGUGUAUCUGUGGGGAGUUGCAAGUAAACAGGUAUCAGCGACAACAGAUGACAAACCUGUGGGACACAU